UACGGAGGGUGCAAGCGUUAAUCGGAAUUACUGGGCGUAAAGCGCACGUAGGUGGUUUGUUAAGCCAGCUGUGAAAUCCCUGGGCUCAACCUGGGCACUGCAGUUGGAACUGGCAAGCUAGAGUAGGGUAGAGGGGUGUGGAAUUCCAGGUGUAGCGGUGAAAUGCGUAGAUAUCUGGAGGAACAUCAGUGGCGAAGGCGACACCCUGGACUCAUACUGACACUGAGGUGCGAAAGCGUGGGGAGCAAACAGG
rnacentral:rRNA from 1 species